CCCCAGCUGUGUUCAUUCUUCAUGUGUGAUGCUUUGUUUAAGAUGGAUCCACUAAUUGUGGCCACUUCAUCAGUGAAGAGGACAUUACACAAUUUUAAGCUGAAUCCAUGUUCAGAACUCUGACCCAGGGUUAUAAAGGAGCAUGGUAACCUAGAAACAUCUUACUAUGAUAGAAGAUAGAGCAAAGCUUACCAGUAAUGACUAUCAACUGAACUAUUCAGCCAUACACUUUUCUAAAGAAAAGAAAAGCAUGGAAGAUUGGAGCCCCC
rnacentral:lncRNA from 1 species